GUGAGCAAGCAAACGCCCGCCGCCUCUCCCCAUCUUGUAUAUUUUCAUUCGAAUCCCGGUCGAGGCUUGAUAUUUUCCCGUAGGCCCGAACCCUCAGUCCUCUGAAAGUCGCGGUGGGAAUUCCACAUUUCCCUCGAAUUUAAAACCGGUGAAACAGUUUCAUGUGGAAUGAUUGAGUAACCAUUGCGAUGCUUCGUGAAACUGAGUGCUGCUCAUGAUAAAACGUGAAUUAUUGUGUUUUAUGUGUUGAUUUUAAUUUAUAAAAUUGUUCGGGAGCUGUGAGCGGACCAUUGCUGGAGGGAGAACAAGGUCGUAUUACCGUCCUUGUGAGCGAGCAUUAACGAAUUUAGGCGCCGUUCAGGCAUGAUUUGAACUAUCGAGGAGUGCGCGUGCGCGCGCGAAUGGUGGGCAGUGAUGGGGGGGCCGCGGCGCAUGUCCAGUGCGCUGCUGCUGCCCUUCGCGCUGCUGUCCCUGCCACCAGCAGAGGCUGCCAAUAAUACCGGCUACCGGGAAGAAGUAGAAUCGUCACUUCGUUUAGUGCACGCAGUGGCGACUGGUGCCACUGGGGCGUUAUGCGUCACACAUCGAUAUGGGCGACUUCGAGCUCCCUUGCACGCUGCACGGUGGGACACUGCGAGGGCCAGGGCAGACCUGGCCGCGAAUCUCCUCCAACAGCUGGGCUUGGAAAACGCAGAAAUUCUGAUGGCGGUUUCCCAAGGCCUUGUGCUAGGUGCAAGUCCGUCAGAGCGAGCGGUGGGGGCAAGAGCACUCGCCUUGAGGUCAGAUGGACUAGUGAACAGCGCCGUGGCCUGGGAGAGAUACGGCACCGCAGAACCGGUGGCUGUUGUAUCUCCACAGCUUGAGAAACCGCCUGAUCCUGAAUAUCCGUGGUACGUGUCAGCACAUGAAAGUGAAACGCUGCGAUCUCCAAAGUUCAUGCCAUCUCCACCCGGCGCGACUAUGGAAGGCUGGUGGACCUACCCUUACUACAGUUGUGAAGCGAAACGGUGGCUGUUAUCGUAUACGGUGCCUGUAGCUACAAUUCGUGGAUUGAAAGGCAUCGUCUCGCUUGACAUAGACAUAUCUAGCUUGGAAAUAAACCAGUGCGAGGCGGACCCUGAAGAUGAAAACGACAACCAAAUAUAUUCCUUUCACGGGACACACAAAUGCCCGAACGAUACCACUUACUGUGAAUACAGGCCAAACAGAGAAAUGAGUAUUCGGCACGCUGGUUGGGCGCGUGGGUCAUAUAUUUGCCGAUGUCGUCCCGGCUACUAUUCGACACAUCAUCGUGAAGGAUAUAAUGGAUCCCUUGUUGAAGUUGCAUACCAAGAAUACGAAGAAAACGAUUUAGAAAACUGGAGCGAGCCAUACGAGUGUCUGAAAUGUCAGCCAGGCUGCGAAACAUGUCGGGGACCGGAACCCUGCCUUGCCACUUACAACUGGCCUUUCCGGAUAUCUUUACUGGUGAUAUCAGUAAGCUGUGCAGUGAUGACGGUUUGCCUGACCAUUUACACUCGCCACCAUCGCAGAGUGAAGGUGUUCCGAGUGGCCAGUCCUGUGUUCCUCUCCAUCACUCUUCUUGGAUGUGCUAUUAUGUACAUGGAGAUGGCAGCUAUCUUCCCGGUGUUGGAUAGAUAUUCAUGUAUUGCCACAAAAUGGACUCGCCACAUGGGAUUCUGUAUCACUUACACAGCACUUCUGAUGAAAACAUGGCGAGUAUCACUAACAUACCGUGUGAAGUCAGCCCAUAAACUGAAGCUGACAGACAAACAGUUGCUGCAGUGGAUGGCACCUAUACUGCUCAUCAUGCUGGUCUACCUGGGCACCUGGACACUGUCUGCACCACCGGAUGCUGAAGUUAUAACUGACAACAAAGGACUGAAAUUCAAGCAGUGUACUUACAACUGGUGGGAUCACAGUUUAGCUAUAGGUGAAAUCCUGUUCCUUUUAUGGGGCGUCCGAGUAUGUUAUCGUGUGCGGCACGCAGAGAGCCUGUACAACGAGGCAAGGCUCAUCUCCAUAGCCAUCUACAAUAUAUUCACUGUCAACUCCCUAAUGAUAGCUUUCCAUUUACUAAUAUUGCCACGGGCUGGGCCGGAUAUUAAAUAUCUCCUUGGGUUCAUAAGAACUCAGCUAUCAACAUCAACUACAGUUCUACUGGUGUUUUUACCUAAGGUAUUACGUGUGGUACGCGGCACAGGCGACACGUGGGACAGCCGGGCUCGAGCUCGUGGUGUGCCCGCCUCCUCCUCGCUCAACGGCAUCGGCCUCGUGCCCGACGACCCGCCCGACCUCUACCAGGAGAACGAGGAGCUUAAGGAGGAAGUUCAAAAGCUAGCCGCACAAAUAGAAUUCAUGAAGAUAGUGCAAAUGGAGAUGCACAACCGUCACCUGCGGCCGCGGCCCGGCGGAUACUUCACUACGAACGCGAACUCCGCCGCGGCGCAGAGCCCCAUACACCCUAAGACUGUUAAUAUUUCACAGGACAGUACAGAAUGGAGCGGCCCAGUGUGACUGGUGGCGCUAAGCGACAGCGGCUGGUCGUGGCCCGGGCCGGCGGGCAAGCGCGUCAGCACCACCGUAGACCUGCGCCCGCCCGCCUACGUGUGACGUCAUACAGCCAAGCUUCGUUUUGUUCAGUGACUUUCAGUUGCAAUUCAGUGGCUAACAAACUUUAUUCAUUCAUUUAGUGUCUUAAUUGCAAAAAAAUGAACUUAUCAAGUGAUAAUUUGAUCGGGCAUCUUAAUUUAGUGUUAGUGUUUUUGUAAUUGGCAUAUUCAGAAUAAAGCACAGUGUUUGUUGAGUUAGUAUUUGCUAUGCUUAUCUCAAUAAAUUUCUUUGCAUUGUAUAAAGAUGAUCAGUUUAUAGUGUAAAAGUGUUUGUAUUUCCAUGCGAUGGUAAUCGUUAACUGUUGUUUCUUAGAUAGGAUACUUCAUGAAAAAUUCAAUAAUGAACUAGAAAUCCUGCAUUCAUAUUUAUUACAUUGCUGUAGAAAAGGCUAGUGGUCAACACUGAUUAAAUACUCAUUACUCAGCUCAGGUAGAUAUACUAUUUGUAACUUAUACCAAAGAAAUAUUUGUAAUCAUUUUAACAUCUUUAGUACAAAGUGUGCCACCAAAAGACAUAAUGUAGUUCAUUGACUACUAAAACUGUGUUCUUGUAAGACUUGUUAUUAUUUAUAUCGCUUAUUCUAGUAAUUAUCUUCCAUGUUGUAAUUAUUGUGAACAUUCCAAAUAUUAAUUUAGAAGAUUUAUGCUAUGAAUUAGUUGUAUAGUAUCUAACUAAAGUGUUAUUUUUAAAUGUUAUUUCUGUGGUGAUGUUACCAAAUCGAUUAAGUCAAGUAAAUGUGUGAAAAACAUGAAUAUAUAUAAAAUAUAAAAUUAUUCCUUAUUUGUAAUAUGUAUAUUUGUAGUUUUACAUAAAAAAAAUGUUGGGCACUGAGUGUUCAUCCUUAGGACAGACAAUAAGAAAUAAAAGUUUGAAAAUUUUAUUUAAUAAGUCAUACGGAAUUAAAAAACAGUCUUAUUUAAUUUAGAUUAAUGUCUAAUUAUUAAGUUUGAACUUAAAAGUGUAACAAUUGUUAUCAAUUAUGUGUUGUAAACUAGGAACAUAUGUUGUAAUCCAUUUGUAUAGUUUUAGGCAUAAAACAAAUUGUAAAUAUGAGUCAAGAUAAAGCAUAAAUUCUAAAGUGUUGUACAUAAACUCAUUAGAGAUGAUUAAUUAUUGUUUUAUUUAAUUUACCAUCUGUGAUAAGCAGUAUUAAUCAAUUAUAAAUGUUGUGUAAUGUUACUUACAGAGGGGUUAUGAAAAUCUUUGUAACAGGAUCAGAUCAACUUUGAUCUGAGAUAACAGGUACCUAUUCCAGUUUUAAAUUAAAAGUUAAAUAGCUAUCAUUACUAUUUUCAGGUAAGCAAGUAGGUACAUGAAAAAGAGUAAACUACUAUGCCAGAUUAACAUCCCCCAUGAGAUUUGAAACAGUUUUACAAAGAUUUUCAUAAUAUCAACUAUAAUUUUAUAGAUUUAUUGCAUGAUAUAAAAAUAUAGUAUUGUAAACAAAAUGUCUACCCAAUUUAUUUCAAAAUCUUGAAGUCUUCACUUUCUAAUUAAACUUAGAUAUUAUAGUGUUUAUUUUUUUAUGCUAGUUGGCUAUGCUAUUAUUGAGUCUAGGUAUUAAAUGUUACUGUGUUCAAUGUUUUCUAAGAGAGCAUUCACAAGCAGUUUUGAUGCUUAUUUCAAGGUAGAAAGUCAUAUUAUUACAUGAUGAACAAUAUACCAGAAUAUUUUUAAUUCUACCCAAAAUUAAAAGAGAACGGGAUUGGAGAUGGAAACGGGUUUUGUCUCAGAAAUGGUUAGUUUUAUAUUAAGCUCAAAAUGUUUUUGAAAAUGUUUAAAAAGAUCUGUUUUGUAAAAAAUAUAUUUUACUUCUUCUCUACUAAAUAUACCUUUACCUUCCUUCUUAUUUUUUAAUUAAAUUUUUAUUAAAUGCAAGAAAUUGUUGUCAAAAAAUAAAAUAAGGUAAAGUUAAAAUAUAACAUUUAAAUGAUUGAUGUGAGUCACAAAAUACUUUUGAAGUAUCUGCUGUUUUCAUGGCAUUUCAAUUACUAUGUCUGGUUUCCAUGGUGUAUAAUGUAAUAUAUGAACGGAUUAUCAUGUAAAUGACACUUGUUGCAAUUCAGUGAAAUAUAAAUUGCAACAUCUAUUUCACUGAACCUAGGUAUGAUUCUACAACAUCAACAUUUUAGAGUGUAAAGUUAAAUAUUAUUUAGUCACAAGCUAUCCAGCAGAGUGUAACUCAUCCAUCAUUUAUAGAUGUGCCAGUAGCUUAAGUUAUAAAUGUGAUACAAAAUAUAACUUAGCAAGUAUAUCUAAUUUUAUUUUCUUAAAUAUAAUUUUACUCUUUCAAUCUCUUUAGACUAUUUCAUGUUCUAUGUGCCAACUUAUAAAUUUUUGAGGUGAAUAUAAAAAAAUAAUGUAUACAUUUUGUAUAUAGUUUUUUUUUUUUUUUUUUAUUAAAUAAAAUACAUUGUAAUCAUGAUGUCACAUGGAUGUUAUAUUAGAAUUGAUGUUAUAAGUAUUAUUAAUCUAUGAUACUCGUUUCUAGGUGAAUUUUAUGUAAGAGGUUCUGUUUUUACAUUAAAAUAAAAAUGACUGUU
rnacentral:misc_RNA from 1 species